CAUGCACACAACCUCCCACGUCUCACGCCCCUCUCGCUCCCCUCUCUAUUUGGAUCUCACAGAAAAACUUCCGCCCGCAGCCGCGCUCCCCGCCCCCACACAGAUCUGCCACGAUGGCCUACCCUUCUCCAACGCCGUUCGACGGUCAUCUCGGUCGCCGUCGUGCAGCCCCUGUAGGCCGCCCUGAUCGGGACCGACACCUCACCUGGAUGGGGUGGUACGACCACGGCCCAAUGCGACGGCUGGAGGGGGGGGGUUCGUGGUGAUCCAAGCCAUGAUGUCGGAGGUCCAGGAGGAGGAGAGUGACGCCAGCUCAGCAGUGGCGGCGGCGAUGGAGACAGGAAGGAGGAGAGGUACGCGAGCUACGGCGACGGAGGCCAUGGCGGAGGUUGGGGAUGAGAGAUAAGCGCUCCACACCAUGUGCAGGGUGCUCGCCGGAAUGCCCAAUACGUGGAAGUGGCCGACGCCGUCCUGCCGCCGCUCUCCAUGCCGGUGCUCACGCCGUCCCUGCUGCACGUUCCUCUCCAGCAGCAACAGCAACACAUCAAAGGAGCUCCGGGUCAAGACGGUGGCGGCCGACAUGCAUAGUCUGCUCUUUGAGGAGGUCAUCCGCCUUCCUGUACAAUCUUGGCUUCGUGAGAAACUGGACUGAUUUGAUUUAAUUCAGUAGUUGUGGUAGUGUUGAAUUCUGCGAUGCAUCAUUUGUUUGGCAAGGCUUUACUCCAUUGGAGUCACUGAGAUUGAAGUAGGAGAGGAAGAAAAAGGAUGUCAUUGCAUAUUUGGGUCAGUGUUAAUUGCUUCUAUAUGACUCAAAAAGAAAAUAGAGACUACAAGUUAAACUGUGAAGAUUAUUUG